rnacentral:rRNA from 1 species
GUGCCAGCCGCCGCGGUAAUACGGAGGGUGCGAGCGUUAAUCGGAAUUACUGGGCGUAAAGCGUACGCAGGCGGUUUGUUAAGCGAGAUGUGAAAGCCCCGGGCUUAACCUGGGAACUGCAUUUCGAACUGGCAGGCUAGAGUGUGAUAGAGGGUGGUAGAAUUUCAGGUGUAGCGGUGAAAUGCGUAGAGAUCUGAGGGAAUACCGAUGGCGAAGGCAGCCACCUGGGUCAACACUGACGCUCAUGUACGAAAGCGUGGGGAGCAAACAGGAUUAGAUACCCGCGUAGUCCG